GACGAACGCUGGCGGCGUGCUUAACACAUGCAAGUCGAACGGAGCGAAUGAAAGCUUGCUUUUAUAAGCUUAGUGGCAAACGGGUGAGUAACACGUAGGCAACCUGCCGACAGGAUGGGGACAACAUUCCGAAAGGAAUGCUAAUACCGAAUGAAGCGCAGGAGAGGCAUCUCUCCUGCGUGAAAGAUGGCCUCUAUAUAUAAGCUAUCACCUGUCGAUGGGCCUGCGUCUGAUUAGCUGGUAGGUGAGGUAACGGCUCACCUAGGCGACGAUCAGUAGCCGGUCUGAGAGGAUGAACGGCCACAUUGGGACUGAGACACGGCCCAGACUCCUACGGGAGGCAGCAGUGGGGAAUCUUCCGCAAUGGGCGCAAGCCUGACGGAGCAACGCCGCGUGAGUGAAGAAGGUCUUCGGAUCGUAAAGCUCUGUUGAUGGGGACGAACGUGCCUAAUGCGAAUAGUA
rnacentral:rRNA from 1 species